UAAUUCGUCGUCUUCUGAAGA
rnacentral:piRNA from 1 species